rnacentral:rRNA from 1 species
CGAUGAAGCCCAGCUUGCUGGGUGGAUUAGUGGCGAACGGGUGAGUAACACGUGAGCAACCUGCCCCUGACUCUGGGAUAAGCGCUGGAAACGGCGUCUAAUACUGGAUACGAGACGUGAUCGCAUGGUCAACGUUUGGAAAGAUUUUUCGGUUGGGGAUGGGCUCGCGGCCUAUCAGCUUGUUGGUGAGGUAAUGGCUCACCAAGGCGUCGACGGGUAGCCGGCCUGAGAGGGUGACCGGCCACACUGGGACUGAGACACGGCCCAGACUCCUACGGGAGGCAGCAGUGGGGAAUAUUGCACAAUGGGCGCAAGCCUGAUGCAGCAACGCCGCGUGAGGGAUGACGGCCUUCGGGUUGUAAACCUCUUUUAGCAGGGAAGAAGCGAGAGUGACGGUACCUGCAGAAAAAGCACCGGCUAACUACGUGCCAGCAGCCGCGGUAAUACGUAGGGUGCAAGCGUUAUCCGGGAAUUAUUGGGCGUAAAGAGCUCGUAGGCGGUUUGUCGCGUCUGCUGUGAAAUCUGGGGGCUCAACCCCCAGCCUGCAGUGGGUACGGGCAGACUAGAGUGCGGUAGGGGAGAUUGGAAUUCCUGGUGUAGCGGUGGAAUGCGCAGAUAUCAGGAGGAACACCGAUGGCGAAGGCAGAUCUCUGGGCCGUAACUGACGCUGAGGAGCGAAAGGGUGGGGAGCAAACAGGCUUAGAUACCCUGGUAGUCCACCCCGUAAACGUUGGGAACUAGUUGUGGGGUCCAUUCCACGGAUUCCGUGACGCAGCUAACGCAUUAAGUUCCCCGCCUGGGGAGUACGGCCGCAAGGCUAAAACUCAAAGGAAUUGACGGGGACCCGCACAAGCGGCGGAGCAUGCGGAUUAAUUCGAUGCAACGCGAAGAACCUUACCAAGGCUUGACAUAUACGAGAACGGGCCAGAAAUGGUCAACUCUUUGGACACUCGUAAACAGGUGGUGCAUGGUUGUCGUCAGCUCGUGUCGUGAGAUGUUGGGUUAAGUCCCGCAACGAGCGCAACCCUCGUUCUAUGUUGCCAGCACGUAAUGGUGGGAACUCAUGGGAUACUGCCGGGGUCAACUCGGAGGAAGGUGGGGAUGACGUCAAAUCAUCAUGCCCCUUAUGUCUUGGGCUUCACGCAUGCUACAAUGGCCGGUACAAUGGGCUGCAAUACCGUGAGGUGGAGCGAAUCCCAAAAAGCCGGUCCCAGUUCGGAUUGAGGUCUGCAACUCGACCUCAUGAAGUCGGAGUCGCUAGUAAUCGCAGAUCAGCAACGCUGCGGUGAAUACGUUCCCGGGUCUUGUACACACCGCCCGUCAAGUCAUGAAAGUCGGUAACACCUGAAGCCGGUGGCCUAACCCCUUGUGGGAGGGAGC